rnacentral:rRNA from 1 species
UACGAACGCUGGCGGCGUGCUUAACACAUGCAAGUCGAACGGUGAAGCCCUUCGGGGUGGAUCAGUGGCGAACGGGUGAGUAACACGUGAGCAACCUGCCCCUGGCUCUGGGACAACCACUGGAAACGGUGGCUAAUACCGGAUACGACCCGCCUCGGCAUCGAGUGUGGGUGGAAAGUUUUUCGGCUGGGGAUGGGCUCGCGGCCUAUCAGCUUGUUGGUGAGGUGAAGGCUCACCAAGGCGACGACGGGUAGCCGGCCUGAGAGGGCGACCGGCCACACUGGGACUGAGACACGGCCCAGACUCCUACGGGAGGCAGCAGUGGGGAAUAUUGCACAAUGGGCGAAAGCCUGAUGCAGCGACGCCGCGUGAGGGAUGACGGCCUUCGGGUUGUAAACCUCUUUCAGCUACGAAGAAGCGAAAGUGACGGUAGGAGCAGAAGAAGCACCGGCUAACUACGUG